GUGUAUGGCUAUGCUAUCCUGAACAAGCCUGAUCCCAUCUGAUCUUGGAAGCUAAGCAGGGUCAGGCCUGGUUAGUACUUGAAUGGGAGACCACCUAGGAAGAUCAGGUACUGUAGGUG
rnacentral:rRNA from 1 species